GACGAACGCUGGCGGCGUGCCUAAUACAUGCAAGUUGAGCGCUGAAGGUUGGUACUUGUACCAACUGGAUGAGCAGCGAACGGGUGUGUAACGCGUGGGGAAUCUGCCUUUGAGCGGGGGACAACAUUUGGAAACGAAUGCUAAUACCGCAUAAAAACUUUAAACACAAGUUUUAAGUUUGAAAGAUGCAAUUGCAUCACUCAAAGAUGAUCCCGCGUUGUAUUAGCUAGUUGGUGAGGUAAAGGCUCACCAAGGCGAUGAUACAUAGCCGACCUGAGAGGGUGGUCGGCCGCAUUGGGACUGAGACACGGCCCAAACUCCUACGGGAGGCAGCAGUAGGGAAUCUUCGGCAAUGGACGAAAGUCUGACCGAGCAACGCCGCGUGAGUGAAGAAGGUUUUCGGAUCGUAAAACUCGGUUGGUAGAGAAGAACGUUGGUGAGAGUGGAAAGCUCAUCAAGUGACGGUAACUACCCAGAAAGGGACGGCUAACUACGUG
rnacentral:rRNA from 1 species